UGCUCCCAGAAGUAAGUGGCUGCUGCUAAGUGGCUGCUGGGAAGUGUAGCCAAGGGCUGUGUGUGUGCCAGGCUUGUAAGUCCUGCUGCACAUAGUGUGGGGCCCCUGAGAGCUGCCGGGUCAUGAAUCAUUCAUAGCGGCUGUGUGUGUGGCUGUGUGUGCGGCUGCAGCACUGCUGUGCGGGAGUGCGACUCCUGGGUGAGGUGAGGAUGCGGCAGACGCGCUCUCCUUGCUGCAGGAGAUACAGGAGCGGGCAGGGAUCUCAGGGAUGCGCCAAGGGGCCCCGCCAUCUGCUGCCACAGGAGGACGAGGUAGGAAAGUGAGCCCGAAUCCCCAGCACAGGCAGCCAGGGCUGGAGGGCGCACAGGGUGCCGCAGUGACCUAUAAGAUCCUGCCUGCUAAUUCCCUUCCCACCUCCAAGUGAGCAGAUUCUGGAGAACAGUCAGAGGGAUGAGGACAUCUGCUGCUACCUACAGAUCUCUCUAAAGGCACCAGCUCCACUGCUUUCAUCUCAGCCAAGCAUUUUCUUCUUUCUAAUGACCAGUCGAUGCUUUAGAAAUUGCUAAUGGCUUUCACUCUAUACUUGGUUUUUCUACUGUUCUGUGGAUGUACUGUAUCAGAAAGAACUCUGCCCUUGAACAGUGCCCCGGCACGGCUGGAUUUUGGUUAUGUGCCCACUGAAAGCUACGAGACGGAUGCGUACCAUGAACCUGGAGCUAUUGGGAUGUUAUUUCAAAUAGUGCAAGGAUUCCUAUACAUUGUGCAGCCGCAUGCCUUUCCCCAGGAUCUUGUGAGAAAGGUUGCCCAGCAGAAGUUUGGUGAAAUUCGUAAUGAUUACCAAAAGCCAGAAAAUGUGGUCCUCACUCUGCAGACAAUACACUAUGAAAUUGGCUUUAUCAUCGCAGCAGUACUUGGACUCCUGUUUUUGCUGCUGAUGCCGCUGGUGGGCCUGUGUUUCUGCAUGUGUCGCUGCUGUGACAACUGUGGUGGGGAGAUGCAUCAGAGGCAAAAGAAAAAUGGUGACUGCCAGAGGGGCUGCUAUGCCACUUUUCUCUUUGUAACCACCUUGCUGAUCAGUGUGGGUGUGAUCUGCGCAUAUGCUGCCAACCAGAACCUUACUAACCAGAUCAGAGGAUCAAAGAAACUGGUGCAAACCAACUUUAAAGACUUAAAGACCCUACUAAAUGACACUCCAAUGCAAAUCGAUUAUGUACUGAGCAAGUUCAAUGUUACAAAGGACAAAGCCCUAUCUGAAAUGAACAAUCUCGGACCUUUGCUUGGUGAGCGCGUCCAUGAGCGCCUUGGGAAAGAUGUCCGACCUGCUUUUGAUGCGGUACUUAACAUGGCAGGAGUCAAAGUGCAAAGGGCAAUUAAAGCUAUCAAAGAAACAAAGGAAGCAUUGGAGAAUGUAAGCGUGUCUGUGGAAGUGCUGCAGGAAGCCAUUGACAAGUUGAACAUAAACCUGACAGAGGCCAAGUUGCAGCUCACUAGUACACUCAGCGACCCCGCGUGUUCAGCCAACGUUGCCAUCAUUCCCUGCAAUAAAAUUGCCAAUUCGCUGAAUCAGCUGAACAUCAAUGCAAACUUCAGCAUGCUUCCUGAUCUAACUCACAAUCUUAUCAGAUUAAAUGAAGUCCUCCGAACAGAUCUUAGCAACUUGGUUCAAAAGGGCUAUGCGGCAUUUAAUCUUACUCCUGAAAUGGUACAAAACCAAACUCGAAAUAUUGAGGGAGCAGCCAUCCCUCAUAUGAAAAAUGUCAUGGAAUCCAUCGGGGCAAACAUUACCAGCUUUUCUAAAACAAUCCCUGUUCUUCAGAUCAUGUCCAAUAUAAGUAAUCAUAUUACUCAGAGUGAGACUUAUGUGCGGGAGUUUUACCCUGUGGUAGAACAAUAUGACUUCUACAGAUGGCUGGGCUCUCUUGUUCUCUGCUGUAUGGUGGCCCUCAUUGUUGUUUUCUACUACCUGGGAUUGCUGUGUGGCACCUGCGGGUAUGAUCAGCAAACAUCUCCCACAACAAGAGGCUGCAUCUCCAACACUGGGGGCAACUUUCUUAUGGCUGGUGUUGGAUUUAGCUUCAUCUUCUCUUGGAUACUCAUGCUCAUUGUGCUUGUUACCUUCCUCGCUGGAGGAAAUGUGGAAAAACUGGUUUGUGAGCCCUUUCAGGAGAGAGCCCUGUUCAAGGUUUUGGAUACACCCUACCUGAUAAAUUCCCAGUGGAAAAAUUACCUUUCUGGAGUUUUGUAUCAAAAUCCCAGUGUAAAUCUGACUUUUGAAAAGGUUUACAGUGACUGCAAAGAAAACAAGGGAAUUUUCACUGCACUUCAGAUCGACAAUCUAUUUAAUCUGAACGAAUUUCUAAACAUCAAUAUGUAUAUUGAUGAAAUUUCAUCAAGAAUCGAAACACUGAAUUUGGACUUGAGUAAUAUUAUUUUGCUGGAUGAAAAAGGAAAAAGAAAUUUAGAAGACUUUAGUUCUACGGGGAUUGAUGAAAUCGAUUUUGAUGCUUUCCUGUCAGAGGUAGCAAAAAGCAAUACAAAGGUAGAUCUCUUGGCAUUUGCUAAUGAAUUGGAAGAAAAUGCAGACUUGCUGCCAAAAGGAGCAUUAGGCAAUGCGUUAAAGGGACAUGCAAAUAGUAUACGGACGAUACAUAUUCAGCAGGUUGUGCCACUGGAGCAGUCAAUGAAAUAUGUCAAAGCUCGGACUACACUAAACCAAAGCAUUAAGCUGCUACAGAGGACGUCAUUUGAUAUUGAGGGGAAGGUACUGGAUGUUAUCACAGCUGUGGAGGCUGCUCAGAAUCUCAUAAACAACAACGCUUCUUCAGUCAUAAAACAGGAGUCCAAAAAGUUAAUGGAUGAAGUCAUUGGCUACUUCAUUCAGUAUGUCCAGUGGGUAAAGGAUUCAAUUGCCUUUGACGUAGCAGGCUGCAAGCCAGUUGCCAAUGUAAUAGACACCGCAGUAGAUGUGUUUCUGUGCAGCUAUAUAGUAGACUCUGUGAAUUCCUUUUGGUUUGGUUUGGGAGGAGCAACUGUGCUUUUAAUUCCAGCCAUCAUUUUCGCAAUCCGAUUAGCAAAAUUCUAUCGCAGAAUGGACACUGAAGAUGUUUAUGAUGAUGUUGAAACUGUUCCCAUGAAAAAUUUGGAAAAUGGUAAUAAUGGUUAUCAUAAUGAGUAUUUAUAUGGUAUUCACAAUCCCGUUAUGGCAAGCAUGUCUUCAUAUGACACACUGAAUAGGUUCCCUCGAGCCUCUGCCCCACCAAGACAUAUUGAUUGAUGGAAAUUACUGUAUCUGUAGAGUGUGAAGUGCCACUGAACAGUGGUAGAAGACACUGGAAAUACUGGUGCAGGGAUUAGAGAAGAUACAAUUGCAGCCUGCAUCACCUUAUCCCGAUGGAGCUUAGUGGAUAUAUUUGUGAAUUCACAUCCAUCUUAAACAAUUGCCCUGACCGGCAGAAGGGGGCAACAUGGAUAAAUGACUUUCAGAAAAUAACCACAUGACCCAUUUACUGCCAAAAAGUAAUACAAAACAAUGGGGUUUGAUGGGACAAAAUCAAAUGUUUACACCAGUACUAGUUUUUGUAUCAGGUAUUUUUGUACUAUAUUUACUGUUGAAUUAGGAACGUUGUUUUCGGUAUAUCUGUAAAAGGCACUGCGGCACAACAGUCAUAUUUGCACCAUUGCAGAAAGCUAAGAAGUUAGCUCUGGUCAGUCAGUCGCAAGGUAGUUGUUAGUAAAUCAGUCUGACCACUCUCCCAGUGUUACAGACAUAACAUGACAAGUUCGUGCACAGUGAUAGGUAAGUGGGCAUGGCUUACAACAAGUAGUUAAAGGUGAGUUUCUCCUGAUAUCUAGGUGUGGCUUGCUUUUACUGCUUACAAUUUACUAUUAAAAAAUGAAUUGUUAGUUGAUAGCAGGCUUAUCUCUAGGCAGAUGGAGCAAGGGGGUGGAGCCUGUUUUUAAAGAACAUACAGCCAGCAAUUUUGAAUUCAUAUCUGAACAUUUUAUGCAUUUCUAUCAUUUUCUAAAGAAAUAAAGCUGUGACAUAUUGCUUUCUGUAUUACAGCAGCUGCAGGAGCAUUUUCCUAUCCUUAUCUUUCAUCACUAUCGUCAGCUCACAGCUCUUCAUCAUUUUCCUGUUCCUUUUAUUGCUUAGCACUAAAAUCAUAAUACUGGCAAUGUUACCAGUUGUUUGCCAGUUGUUUCUGCCCAGCUCGAUACUGGUUUUUGUGCAUUCCAUGUGUACUGACUCACUAAAAAUCUUAGUUUAUUUAAACACAAAAAUCAUACAAAUACUGUGACAUAUGGCACCUACACCUUCCAUGGGGCAAUCACACAAAUUUGUCCGUGUCACAUUAUUCUGAGUUAAUACAAGUACAGCAUUGGACAUGUUAUCCUCUUUCUCAUUGUCAUUAGUUCUCUAUAUUAGAAGCAGGUGUGUGGCGGGGGCCGAAGGUCACCUGUGAUAUUACAGGUCCCAAAAAUAUAUUUUUGCAGUGGACCUGGGCCCCUGAAGUUCCACCUUGUAUUAACAUUGUAGGUGCAACUUUUUGUAUUGUCACAUUUGGGAUCCAUGACUGUAUGAGUACCAGAGAGGUGAGGUGAUAUAUAAUAAAUAACUGAGAAUGGCCAACUACAGCUGUCAACUACAAACUGUCGGUGGGAUGCUGGAGGUAGGAGUUCACUGCUUGCUCCCCAUCCGGCUCAGUCUAGUGACCUUUCCCAUGUACGCCCAGCUUUGCAGUCUCUUCAUCAGCCAUAUUACAAUCCUGGAAUUGAAAUGGAAUUGUGAUUUACCCAGCAAAGACAUCUAAGAAGUGUUAAAAGUUUAAGUUUAAGUGUUUACCAUUUUUUGACCAAAACAACAUGUCACUAAAACCAAUGUAUCAGUGGCUGGCAUAAUACUACUCAGCCCUGUGCUGCCUCAGACUAUGGAGACAUGCUACCAUUAUGUAUUUAGUUUCCUUUCAGAUAGAUUGCUUCUCUUGUAUAUGCACUGACUGUAAUAGAAUAGCACUGUGCAGACUGUGAAUUACUCAAGCAAGGUGCUAUCCCCAUGUAUAAAUACGCCAGCUUAUGACAUUCUCUGUCAUUUAUUUCCCCUUUAGCAGACCUUGAAGCAUGAAGUUACAUCAUACUGCUUGCACGGAAUGUUUAUUUUGCUACGUAUCUCAAAUAAAAAUGGUAGUUUUAUGUUUAUGUUACGCACCUUCUGUCCGAUGCAGCUUGCUCCAUUAUCGCUGUGAUACAGAAUAUCAUCUCUGAAUGGCAAGUAAAGGCUAAUUCACUGGGGACUGCUUAUAUAUAAGGUAACCCCCAGUGAACUAACUGGCUUGAAGCUUUUCCCUUUUCAUAAAAAAAGCACCAUUUUAGAGACAACUAUAAGGAAGCACUAAGCCCUGUUGUUACCUCUCGUCCCAGGGAGCCCUUGUGUAGGCUUCGCAUCUGCACACACAGUACAGUUAUAGGACCUGUUAUCCAGAAUGCUUGAGGCCUGGGGUUUUUUAGCAUACUGUGUAUGAGUGUAUGAUCUGAAGCCAAUGCAAGGAUUAGUGCUGACAUCCCCAGGCCGGUGCAUCUUGUCCAAAACAGAGUUGUGUUCUCAAUGGAGCAAGCAAUAUGGCAUACACGGUGACUGACAUAGCAACCUAGCAGAGGUUACCAAAAUUAAAUAACCUGCAGGAAAGGAAACUGAACCAUCCUCGUUUUAAAGGAAUUUAGUUCUACUCUUUCUGCUUCCCAUUGGAUUGUGACCCUAGGGGCUUAGUGUUUCUCAGUCGCUGUGUGCCAGCCAGGAGCCACUUCAUUAGCAGAUAUCCAAAGCUUUGUACCUUUGUCAAACAGGACCAGCAAAUAUACCCCAUGUUUUUGCUUCUACACGUUAUUUUCUGUAAUGUACUGAGAAUAGCUGCACUGUACCGACUCCUGAAUACUUCCCUACGGGCGAGACUGCUUCUGUUUGGCAGGAGUCACGGCAUAGCUCCGCAGGAAUAACUUGUAUAUAAACAUUUGGAUUCGUAGCUUUAAUAAAAUGUUCUAUUUUUAAUGUCAUAUGAAGUGGAUGGUGAAAUCCAGUAAAUAAAAACAACUUGGUACA